GGAGAGGUGCUUGAGCGGUCCAAAAGAAUGGUUUGCUAAACCAUGGUGGCGUAAGCUGCCUCGUGGGUUCGAAUCCCACCCUCUCCG
rnacentral:tRNA from 1 species